rnacentral:lncRNA from 10 species
CUGCAUCAUGGGAUAUGAUCUAAUGGCAUAGUUUGAUACUGCCCAAAACUUGAUCCAAGACAUCAGGCAUAAUAUGCAAGGGACAGGGAAGAAAGGGGGCAUUAACACCCAUCUCCAAUUCACCUAUGCACAAAAACUGAAGAUCACUGAGGUUAAGUAACUGGCUGAAAGUUGCAUGUGUUAUUUUUUGGACAAACUGAGAAGUGAUCGGGGUCUUUUGAUGACUAGUCAACUCACAAGAUUAUCUUUGACCAAGUAGAUAGACCAUCCUGGACACAUCCUAGAGCCUUGCUACACAAAGGAGAGGUGAGAACAGCAGCAAUACCAUCACCUGGAAACUCAUUAGAAAUGCAGAUUCUCAGGCUACCCAGGACCUCCUGAAUCACACCUGGCAUUUUAACUAGCUUUCCAGAUGGUUCAGAUGGAUGUUGAAGUUUGAGAAGCACCACCCUAGAGGAACUUCAAAAGACUGUCAGUUCUUGUCAUUUAAAUAUUCGCUCAUUUAUUCACUGUUUUUCACUCAGCAAACAUUUAUAGUAAGGCUUCUAUGUGCAAACACUGCAGGGUAUGAAUACAGUAUAAUCCCUGCAUCAUGGGAUGCAGUCUAGUGGCGCAGUUUGAUGCUGCCCCAAACUUGAUCCAAGACACCAAACCUGUUAUGCAAGGGACAGGGAAGAAAGGCGGCAUUGAUACGCGUCUCCAAGUUCUCCAAGUCACUGUGUACAAAAAUACCAUCUGCUUGUUAAAACAAUCAAAGUCACAGACAGGCCUGGAGUCAGACCAGCCCUGUUUCUCUCUUUGCCCAGGGAAGGGACCUCAGGCAAACUGCCUCCUUUUGAUGAAUCCCACCUAAAAAAAUAAAGUCUUGGACUUCAGGAACAUCCAGAUUCUUCCCAGCAGCUCUCUUCAUUUCUUCCUAACUCUUCUGGUUUUAUUCAUUCACUUGGCAAAUAUUUGAGUGACACUAUCUGCUGGGGAUUGCUUCAGUGCUGGGGACAUUGGUGACAAGAUAAAUGAGGCCCUAUCAGCCAGCAAUAAGUACCACACUGAGCACUGAGACAGGGUAAUGAGAUCUGGCAUUGCUGGGUGGCUGCUUUCCAUUGGAUGGUCAGGGAGGCUUCUUGGAGGAACAGGAUUUAACUUGAGGCCAAAACGGCACAAGGGUAGAGCCAUAUAAAACUAAGGAGAAACCAUUUUAGGAUGAGGGAACAAACCCUGAAGGUGUGAACAAGCUCGGUGCAUCUAGACAUGUAAGGAAGGUUCCAGCAUGUGAAGGAGCGAGGACGGAGAAGGGUCCGGUGAGGUCUUACAGCAACAGAGGGUCCAGCCACAUGAGGCUGAGCAGCCAAGUGAUCUGCCUAGGCCAGCUCCCCUUCAUCUUCUGCCAUGAGUGGAAGCAGCCUGAGGCCCUCACCAGAAGCAGAUGUUGGCACUAUGCUUCUUAGACAGCCUGCAAAACUAGCCUUCCCUUGGCGAGGUCAAGGAUAUCUGCUGUGAGCCUGGGCUGGCUGAACCAAAGGGCAAUGGAGGCGGCCAAGAAGCCCCAGCCAACUGCUCCCCUCCCCAACCCCCUUCUCCCUGGAGGUCCCUUCAGCUAGAAUUUGCCAUUUUCUGUCAGGGUUGUGCAUUUCUUCCAGUCACCAUGACUUCCUGAGAUAGCCAAAAGCAUUUGCUGUGAGCAGAGCCCCAUGGCUGGCUUUGCACAUCAAACAUUUCAGACAGCCAUAUAUUUCAUAGAAUACAAGGGGAAGAUAACACUGGACACACAGAACUUUCCAACAGCUUGAGAAAAUGUGGUGCCUGGUGACUGACUAAAUAUACAAUCGGACAACAGCCAGGCCAUAGCAAAAGAUGGAACUCUGAUCCACAAGGUGCAGCAACUUUCCCAGAAAACAAUACCCUUACCCACAAAAAGCAACCCCGGAAGCUGGCCUGCUCUAAAUCAGACCUGCUGGAAGCCAAAUUGCUCUCUAGUAACUAUCCAGGAAGCUAAAUAAUAACUUCUGUAACAAUUGACUCAAAAUGUUCAGGACUGGAUUAAUAACUGAUGGCUUCCCUAAUUUUUGUCCCCGAUUCCAACUUAGGACCCACCAGAGAAAGCCAAAUAUGGUCCCCUGACCAAGCACACAGGAUGUUCGCUUCUAGUGAGCCGCCUCCAGCUUCCCCGCAUUGAUAACCUCCAAUCAGGGCACACCUGAAGCCUUCGCCUUUUUCCACUAUAAAGCUCUCCCACUCGUCUGCCCACCUUUGAGUCUCUGCCAAAUUGCAAAUGAUGGUGUCUGACUCCCUUGCUGUAGCAAGCUCUGCAUAAUAGCUUGUGCUUAUUCUCUUUGGGUAGGUCUUCAUUUCUUUUCACACCAGAUAGGCAUCAUCUUUGAAAACAUCUUUACUGGGUCUCUUGUCUCCCUCCUGCAGCCACUGAUCUAAAUCACAGACUUUUUUAGAAAGAGGGAAAAUAGUAAAGAAAGAAAGCGAUUGAGUUGAUGCUCCCAGCCACUGUCUGUACCCUGAAUUUUGUUUUUCUGCCAUAUGUCAGGUGGCCUCUCCUGGACCAUCGUCACUGUUUCUCCUGCUUCCCUGCAGCUGCAGACACAGGAGCACUGUGUAGGUCUGGCCUUGAGCACCCACCCACCCAGUACAGAGCCAGCCCCUGCUGUUCUGAAUCAGUGCAGUGACCACUUAGAACACAGUGCCCAUGCCUCUGUGAUCUGAACUGCUCUUUCCAGUUCCAUACAAUGUUAAGAACCCACUUAAGAAUGUUUUAAUCAUUCAGUAGUUUUUCGUGGUAUAUAAUAAAAAAGUGAUUUAAAUACAAUCUAUUUUAUUUUAGAUUAUAUCAUUAGGGGUUAUUUUACAAAGUUACCUUUAAAUACUAUUGUAAAUAAAAUUAAUAACAAAUAAGCAAAAUUCUUACUUUUCCUUGUUUGACAAUU